GGUUCAAUGGCGGAGCGGCGCGCCUCUGCGCAAUUCGGAUUCCUUCGCUUUGUAUGCAGAAGACGCCUGUUCGAAUCAGGCUUGAACCA